UGAAGCAUAAAUCCAAAUCAAUUGAAAUAUUCAAAUGAUUCUAUAAUGAGGUAGGAAAAUGAACUGCAAAGAGUAUUAGAAUCAUCGAUUUGACCGAUGAAGUGAAUAUCUUUACAGUAAGUUUUGACAUGUCUUCAAAAAAAUUAGAUUCUCUCUUAAUGGACCUCUCUUGAGACAUCAUUAUUUAAAAGGAUAUCCG
rnacentral:lncRNA from 1 species